ACUCAAAUGAAUAGACGGGGACCCGCACAACCGGUGGAGCGUGUGGUUCAAUUCGAGACAAAACGAAAAACCUCACCAGGGCUUGACAUGUAACCGUACAUUCUCUUGGAAACAAGAGGAAAUCCGCAAGGAUGGUUACACAGGUGAUGCAUGGCUGUCGUCAGCUCGUGCCGUGAGGUGUUCCCUUAAGUGGGGAAACGAGCGCAACCCGCGUCUAAUGUUAAAUAUUCAUUAGAGACUGUCCCGAUUUUAUCGGGGAGGAAGGAGCGGUAGACGUCAAGUCAGCACGUCCCUUAUGCCCUGGGCUACACACACACUACAAUGGCGAAUAACAAUGGGCCGCAAGCUAGUAAUAGCAAGCAAAUCCCUUAAAUUUCGCCUCAGUUCAGAUUGGGGUCUGAAACCCGACCCCAUGAAGUCGGAAUCGGUAGUAAUCGCGGAUCAGCAAGCCGCGGUGAAUACGUUCUCGGGUCUUGUACACACCGCCCGU
rnacentral:rRNA from 1 species